AACGAACGCUGGCGGCAUGCCUAACACAUGCAAGUCGAACGAGACCUUCGGGUCUAGUGGCGCACGGGUGCGUAACGCGUGGGAACCUGCCCUUAGGUUCGGAAUAACUCCCCGAAAGGGGUGCUAAUACCGGAUAAUGUCUUCGGACCAAAGAUUUAUCGCCUUUGGAUGGGGCCGCGUUGGAUUAGCUAGUUGGUAGGGUAAAAGCCUACCAAGGCGACGAUCAAUAGCUGGUCUGAGAGGAUGAUCAGCCACACUGGGACUGAGACACGGCCCAGACUCCUACGGGAGGCAGCAGUGGGGAAUAUUGGACAAUGAGCGAAAGCCUGAUCCAGCAAUGCCGCGUGAGUGAUGAAGGCCUUAGGGUUGUAAAGCUCUUUUACCCGGGAUGAUAAUGACAGUACCGGGAGAAUAAGCGCCGGCUAACUCCGUG
rnacentral:rRNA from 1 species